rnacentral:rRNA from 1 species
GAUGAACGCUGGCGGCGUGCCUAAUACAUGCAAGUCGAGCGAACGGACGAGAAGCUUGCUUCUCUGAUGUUAGCGGCGGACGGGUGAGUAACACGUGGAUAACCUACCUAUAAGACUGGGAUAACUUCGGGAAACCGGAGCUAAUACCGGAUAAUAUUUUGAACCGCAUGGUUCAAAAGUGAAAGACGGUCUUGCUGUCACUUAUAGAUGGAUCCGCGCUGCAUUAGCUGGUUGGUAAGGUAACGGCUUACCAAGGCAACGAUGCAUAGCCGACCUGAGAGGGUGAUCGGCCACACUGGAACUGAGACACGGUCCAGACUCCUACGGGAGGCAGCAGUAGGGAAUCUUCCGCAAUGGGCGAAAGCCUGACGGAGCAACGCCGCGUGAGUGAUGAAGGUCUUCGGAUCGUAAAACUCUGUUAUUAGGGAAGAACAUAUGUGUAAGUAACUGUGCACAUCUUGACGGUACCUAAUCAGAAAGCCACGGCUAACUACGUGCCAGCAGCCGCGGUAAUACGUAGGUGGCAAGCGUUAUCCGGAAUUAUUGGGCGUAAAGCGCGCGUAGGCGGUUUUUUAAGUCUGAUGUGAAAGCCCACGGCUCAACCGUGGAGGGUCAUUGGAAACUGGAAAACUUGAGUGCAGAAGAGGAAAGUGGAAUUCCAUGUGUAGCGGUGAAAUGCGCAGAGAUAUGGAGGAACACCAGUGGCGAAGGCGACUUUCUGGUCUGUAACUGACGCUGAUGUGCGAAAGCGUGGGGAUCAAACAGGAUUAGAUACCCUGGUAGUCCACGCCGUAAACGAUGAGUGCUAAGUGUUAGGGGGUUUCCGCCCCUUAGUGCUGCAGCUAACGCAUUAAGCACUCCGCCUGGGGAGUACGACCGCAAGGUUGAAACUCAAAGGAAUUGACGGGGACCCGCACAAGCGGUGGGGCAUGUGGUUUAAUUCGAAGCAACGCGAAGAACCUUACCAAAUCUUGACAUCCUUUGACAACUCUAGAGAUAGAGCUUUCCCCUUCGGGGGACAAAGUGACAGGUGGUGCAUGGUUGUCGUCAGCUCGUGUCGUGAGAUGUUGGGUUAAGUCCCGCAACGAGCGCAACCCUUAAGCUUAGUUGCCAUCAUUAAGUUGGGCACUCUAAGUUGACUGCCGGUGACAAACCGGAGGAAGGUGGGGAUGACGUCAAAUCAUCAUGCCCCUUAUGAUUUGGGCUACACACGUGCUACAAUGGACAAUACAAAGGGCAGCGAAACCGCGAGGUCAAGCAAAUCCCAUAAAGUUGUUCUCAGUUCGGAUUGUAGUCUGCAACUCGACUACAUGAAGCUGGAAUCGCUAGUAAUCGUAGAUCAGCAUGCUACGGUGAAUACGUUCCCGGGUCU